GAGGAACUGGAGAAACAGAGGUCACUCGGAACACAAGAACACAAAGUCUGGGGAAAUCAAACCGUGGCAGUCAAGUUCACAGCCCUCUAAAACAGUCAGCUACUUUACUUCUCAAAAAUCAGAGUAAAAAUCUUCAGACUAUUUAAAUAUAUAUACUUAAUGCCGGAACCAUGCAACAUUUCGGACAUACCCUUCUAGCCCAAGUAAAAAUCGACUCCUAUCAGCUUUUCAUAUUCAGGAGGAUACAAGCUGGUGCUUCUUGGAACUACCAAAUCAUGAAGAGGAUUUCUGAAAGCCAUCAUCCCUGAACAAGACCUACAGGAUCUUUUUGCUUCAUAAAAUGCUAUUCAAUUUAAGAAAUAUUGCAAUAUUUCUUUUGACUGCUUUGUAUAAUGCUUUCUAAUAUACAAGUCCAAGCAAAAAAAAAAAAAGGGAAAAAAUACUUUAUUUUUAUUAGUGUUACUCAUAUGAACCUCCAUUGCAUUUGGUUUACUGCUGCACAUUUUAGAAGAAAACUAUUCGGCCAUUUAAGGAAAUAUGAAGCUUACCAAUGAGAGU